CACAUGUAGGAUCAACCACCGCUGCGUCGCUCAAAUACACCUCAGUAUUCCCUGCUCCAUUCCACAAGUCACCAAGCUGGCCCUCCUCUAAUUCGGUUCCGUCUUUUUCCGAUGAUUUUUCGAUGAUUUUCCGAUGAUUUUUGGGUCCAAUCCUUUUUGGUACGAGCUGGCGGCACGUCAUCGACACAUGCACAACUGCCACUGCUCACUUCAUAACCUGGCUGCAAUUGCUACGCAGGGUUUUAAAUCUUCCGCCACCUUUGGUUACUUGCCGCCUGAGAAGAUAAAUGAUGAAAAAAUCGAAACAAACGAAACGAAACGAAACGAAACCGCACGUCAAUCGCACCCCAA
rnacentral:lncRNA from 1 species